AGGGCUUGGAGCAACCUGGGACAGUGGAAGGUGUCCUUGCCCAUGGCGGGGGGUGGAACUGGAUGAGCUCUAAAAUCCCUUUCAACCCAAACCAUUGUAAGAUUCUAUGAAAUAAUAGAUUUGGAAUUGCCCUAGAUGGAUGCACUAGCUGUGAUAGAAUUCUAACAGUAGCAGUAGUAAAGUGUUAGCUCAGAUAAUAAUAAUCAUAAUCAUUUUAUGCAGAAGCUUAUAAUGAAUGCUUGGGAGGAGGGAGAGGAGACUAGUAGCCCAUCAACUGUUUCUGAGGUCCUUUUGGGUCUUCCUCCUAACUAGGUGAAAUUUUUAUCCUCCUUAUAUAUACCCCAGUCUUAUCCCCCUCCUCUUUCUUCACAUAUAGCAUGAUCUAAGCAGAGAGCAACGUAAUACAGUAAUAAAUGUGAGACUAAGGUACUUAAUGAAGGCAGUUAGCAUAUGCAGGAUUUGUUGGGGUUUUUUUGUGUUUUUUGUUUUGUUUGUUUUUUUUGUUAUGGUGUCCUUCGAAGUUCUGGUCAUACAACUUUGUUCUCAUUUGCUUCAUUCUUCAAAGCAAGAGCAGGAUCAUUACAUCUCCACAGGACUUGGACUUGCUCCUUCAGGGCCUUUCCUGACGCCAGCUAUGCAGCUCUCCCUCCACAGAGAUAACACAGAGGGUACACAGCAUACACUGUGGAUAUUACGCCUCAGCCCUUGCUUGGCUCUUUGGUCAUCAUCCCACAGAAAGCAGUGCUGCGUGACAAGAACCUGGGCUCUGCUUCUGCCCUGGGGUCUGGGAAAAGCUCAGCGCAGAUAGCCUACAAUGGCCAGGACAAAAAUUGGUUCAUUUUAAAGAUGAAGGAUUUCCACAGUGUUUAUUUGACUUGGCUUGGCAGCAGUGCUCUGUUUACGACUGGAUAAGUAACUGCCACAUUAAAGAUUAUUAACUAGCUAUGCUUCAGUGGCCAAUAAAGCACUAAUCUUUUA